rnacentral:rRNA from 1 species
CAGUAGCCGCGGGAAUACGUAGGGUGCAAGCGUUAAUCGGAAUUACUGGGCGUAAAGCGUGAGCAGGCGGUUAUAUAAGACAGAUGUGAAAUCCCCGGGCUCAACCUGGGAACUGCAUUUGUGACUGUAUAGCUAGAGUACGGCAGAGGGGGAUGGAAUUCCGCGUGUAGCAGUGAAAUGCGUAGAUAUGCGGAGGAACACCGAUGGCGAAGGCAAUCCCCUGGGCCUGUACUGACGCUCAUGCACGAAAGCGUGGGGAGCAAACAGGAUUAGAUACCCCGGUAGUCCCUGUCUCUUAUAC